UACAUGUGGGGCAAGCGUUGUUCGGAAUUACUGGGCAUAAAGGGUGCGUAGGCGGCAUGCCAAGUCAGGGGUGAAAGGUUUCGGCCCAACCGGGACAGUGCCUUUGAUACUGGCGUGCUUGAGUGCGUGAGGGGUGACUGGAACGAGUGGUGUAGCGGUGAAAUGCGUAGAUAUGUCACAGAACACCAAUUGCGAAGGCAGCUUACUAAAGUAUGAUUGACGCUGAGGCACGAAAGCGUGGGGAUCAAACAGG
rnacentral:rRNA from 1 species